AUACGUAGGGAGCGAGCGUUGUCCGGAAUUACUGGGCGUAAAGGGCGCGUAGGCGGCGCUUCAAGUCGUCUGUCAAAUGGAAGGGCUUAACCCUUUUUCGCAGACGAAACUGGAGAGCUUGAGAAGCAGAGAGGCAAACAGAAUACCUGGUGUAGCGGUGAAAUGCGUAGAUAUCAGGAAGAAUACCAGUGGCGAAGGCGGUUUGCUGGCUGCAUACUGACGCUGAAGCGCGAAAGCCAGGGGAGCGAACGGGAUUAGAUAUCCCGGUAGUCCUGGCAGUAAACGAUGUAUGCUGGGUGUGAGACUAGCGAUAGUUUCGUGCCGAAGUUAACGCGAUAAGCAUACCGCCUGGGGAGUACGGUCGCAAGAUUGAAACUCAAAUGAAUUGGCGGGG
rnacentral:rRNA from 1 species